UAAGACGAGCUGAGAUCAAAACCUGUAGUUUCAGAAAGAGUGAGAGAACUUUGCAGCUUGAAAGACAUCGAACACGUGGCUGCCGCCUGAACAAGACUGGUUGGAAUCUUCGUACUUGUAUAUAUUUCAGCAAACGGGGAGAACACUUACUGAAAAACGCAGUUUGUCGAAAGACUCAACGGGUGACCACUUAAGGGAAAGAUGCAGUUUAGCCUGAUUUCAACCUCUCUUCUCUGUUUCACGACAUGGAUGAACCUGGUCCAAGCAACCAUUGGAUAUUGUCCGUGUGUUACGCUCUCCAAUAAAAAAGUCCCUCACUCUAGGAUUAAGGAGUACACCAUUCAGAAGGAAGGUCCCUGUUUGUUUACAGCAGUUGCGUUUCGGACGAACGCUGGAAAGACACUAUGCUUCACCGAGAAUGACUGGACAAAACAUGUAAUUCAGCAGCUGAAGAAAAGACAAAAUGAAAAAUGUCCCACAGAAGGAUCAGAACGAAUAUCAACACCAAAAGCAGUGGCAACAACACCAACAUCUGCACCUGGAACUGAACCACCAUCAACAAUAGCAUCAGCACCAUCAACAACAGCAAAAUCACCAGGAUCAAAUCGACAAACAACAAUAGCAUCAACACCAGGAUCUGACACGCCAUCAACAACAGCAACAGCACCAGGAUCUGACACGCCAUCAACAACAGCAACAGCACCAUUAACAACAGCAACAGCACCAGGAUCUGACACACCAUCAAGAAAAGCGUCAGCACCAUCAACACCAGCAACAGCACCAUCAAGCUCGGCGUCCUUACCAGGAUCAGAACCAACAUCAACUCCAACAUUCGCUACAUCAACCACAGCAUCAACAACCUCAACAACACCAGCCUCAGCACCAUCAACAAUGACUUCAACCCCAGUACCUGAACAAUCAACUCCAAAUCCAACAUCAGCACCCAACAACAUUGCUGGUGCCUCUGGUACCAGUUCAGCAAGUGACCAUAUACCAGCAAAAACCACGAGAAGAAGAAAAGCAUUCACACGAAGACAUUUAACAACAAGGAGACGACGGAAUAAGAGGAAAAUAAGGCAAUGGCAGAAAAGAUGUGCAAAGACAUCAAAGUGACCGCCCUUAACAAAUUUUGUUCUAAGAAAUAUGACACGCAAUACUUAAAUGCAGUGGCUUUCAAUGCUUUGCAGCUUAAAAACACUUUAGAUAAACUCAGCAUGAAGAGUUGCAACAUUUGCAUAUUUGAUGUUUCAAUUCUUUUGUCCAUAUUUUAUUAGCAUUUUUUAUCCACAACUUUCUAACAACCAAAAAUUGUUCUGUGACUCUUCCUGGGUGUCCAGACAAGGUAGCGAGUGAAAGCUUUAAUGUAUCACAAUAAAAUAAUUGUGAAGCUCUGCUUUAUAUCUGUAUUAUAGUCAUGUACAAUAUUAUGACACUUUAUUUUAUUUUUUUAAAAUCUGUGUGUUAAACAAAAACAAAUCUAUAUAUUCUAUUUUUUUUAC